AUCUCUUUUCGGCCUUUUGGCUAAGCUAAAGUGUAGGAUCUGUUCUUAUUAGUGUAAUAUCUGAUAUCUCCCCUAUCUGGGGACCAAAUAUUAAAUUGAUUUGUAAGAAUGGGGGCCGAUUUUGGAUCUUUCUUCCAUCGCCCUAUGCAUUGACCCGAUAUGACAGUAUUUUUGGGUACAGCAUUAUGG